rnacentral:rRNA from 1 species
AUGGUUGUCGUCAGCUCGUGCCGUGAGGUGUCGGGUAAGUCCCAUAACGAGCGCAACCCUACCUUUAGUUGCCAUCAGGUAAUGCUGGGGACUCUAAAGGAACUGCCUACGCAAGUAGUGAGGAAGGCGGGGAUGACGUCAAAUCAGCACGGCCCUUACGUCCAGGGCUGCACACGUGCUACAAUGGCCGAUACAGAGGGCAGCUACCUGGUGACAGGAUGCAAAUCUCCAAAGUCGGUCUCAGUUCGGAUCGGAGUCUGCAACCCGACUCCGUGAAGUUGGAUUCGCUAGUAAUCGCGCAUCAGCCAUGGCGCGGUGAAUACGUUCCCGGGCCUU